rnacentral:rRNA from 1 species
GAUGAACGCUGGCGGCGUGCCUAAUACAUGCAAGUCGAGCGAACAGACGAGGAGCUUGCUCCUCUGACGUUAGCGGCGGACGGGUGAGUAACACGUGGAUAACCUACCUAUAAGACUGGGAUAACUUCGGGAAACCGGAGCUAAUACCGGAUAAUAUAUUGAACCGCAUGGUUCAAUAGUGAAAGGCGGUUUUGCUGUCACUUAUAGAUGGAUCCGCGCCGCAUUAGCUAGUUGGUAAGGUAACGGCUUACCAAGGCAACGAUGCGUAGCCGACCUGAGAGGGUGAUCGGCCACACUGGAACUGAGACACGGUCCAGACUCCUACGGGAGGCAGCAGUAGGGAAUCUUCCGCAAAGGGCGAAAGCCUGACGGAGCAACGCCGCGUGAGUGAUGAAGGUCUUCGGAUCGUAAAACUCUGUUAUUAGGGAAGAACAAAUGUGUAAGUAACUAUGCACGUCUUGACGGUACCUAAUCAGAAAGCCACGGCUAACUACGUG